AGGGUUUGAUUAUGGCUCAGGAUGAACGCUAGCUACAGGCUUAACACAUGCAAGUCGAGGGGCAGCGAUGAAGAAAGCUUGCUUUCUUCAGGCGGCGACCGGCGCACGGGUGAGUAACGCGUAUCGAACCUGCCUCAUACUCGGGAAUAGCCUUGCGAAAGUAAGAUUAAUGCCCGAUGUUAUUAGGAUAUCACAUGAUGUUUUAAUUAAAGAUUUAUCGGUAUGAGAUGGCGAUGCGUCCCAUUAGCUUGUUGGCGGGGUAACGGCCCACCAAGGCAUCGAUGGGUAGGGGUUCUGAGAGGAAGGUCCCCCACAUUGGAACUGAGACACGGUCCAA
rnacentral:rRNA from 1 species